AGAAACACAAAUCACACUUUUAUAUUGGUCAAUCCGAUCCAUAUUCACAUGGAUUGAUGAGUUGACCACUAUUUAACAAGGUUAGAAGCCCAGCAAUGGCUGAACAGUUAUCACACCAUAGAACACGAGGAGUCACAGGAACAUAUACUUCAGUGAAUGAUCAAGCCACCGUGGGUUGUUUCUUAGCACAACAAGAGACAAGAUUAUGACCAAAAUAAACACCAAAGCGAGUAGCGGAAUUCACGUACUCCCCCAUUAGUAACUUAGCAAAAAAAAUGCAUAACUAAUAUUAUAAAAAUGCAUAAUUAACAAGCCAAGAA